ACUCCUGCUCCGCUGUGGAGGAAACCCUGUAUUAUGGUUGUGUGUAGGCUUCGCUGGGAGCCGCGGUCGAUGCCGGUGUAGAGAGGGGGAUGGGCAAUACUGCAAAUACAACUCAACGUGAACAUCUGAAGACCGCACAAUGUCUUAAAUGGGAGAAAAUGUGAAACUUUCAACUCUUGCGUAAGGGACACUGAGAAGUUUGGAAGAUAGCCCGAGAGCCUAGCGGUUUACAGUUCACAGGAAACACCGAGGUUGCAAGAGAAGGCCUGCUGUUCUGCCUCGCAUUGAUGUUGGAUU